UACGAAGGGUGCAAGCGUUGUUCGGAAUCAUUGGGCGUAAAGCGCGUGUAGGCGGUUAAUUAAGUCGGGUGUGAAAUCCCUUGGCUCAACCAAGGAAGUGCAUUCGAAACUAAUUAGCUAGAAGAUGGUAGAGGAAGGUGGAAUUCCAAGUGUAGAGGUGAAAUUCGUAGAUAUUUGGAGGAAUACCGGAGGCGAAGGCGGCCUUCUGGGCCAUUCUUGACGCUGAGACGCGAAAGCGUGGGUAGCAAACAGG
rnacentral:rRNA from 1 species